UACAGAGCUGAUCUUUGCCUGAAUCUGGAUGCGGAGGCAGGGGGAUGAUUCUGCAAGGACUAAGGAGCCAAAAAGAGAGCUGAACUAGAUGGUAUAUCAAGGCAUUUUCUGUCCUCAGUUUCUCUAUGUUCAAAACAGGAAGAAGCAGCUUUUAACAGAUGGGAAGAUGCAGGCAUGCCAUUCUAGAUGUCUGGUUCAGUGAGACAGAGGCUUCAGCCUGAAUCCUGCUGUGCCCAUGUAGAACAACUUCUACAUGUGGAAUACAUUGCAGUCAUGUUAAAUGCCAUACACAUGCAUACAAGGCCCUUGAUGCUACCCUGCCAACCUAUUAUUUUCCCCACUGUGCAGAUGCAUGAAGUGCAGACUAAAGUUUUGCUGGCUCCACAAAAUGUCUUAGAAAGGUGUUCCCCUUUUCUAGGAUACAAAAGAUUUAAACACAAAUUUAUUCCUUCCUUUCUUUCCUUCUCCACCCCUUCCUCCUCCUCUUUCUUUUUGUAAAUUAAAAUUGACCAGAUAAAGCAGG
rnacentral:lncRNA from 1 species